rnacentral:rRNA from 1 species
GAUGAACGCUGGCGGCGUGCCUAAUACAUGCAAGUCGAGCGAACAGGCGAGGAGCUUGCUCCUCUGACGUUAGCGGCGGACGGGUGAGUAACACGUGGAUAACCUACCUAUAAGACUGGGAUAACUUCGGGAAACCGGAGCUAAUACCGGAUAAUAUAUUGAACCGCAUGGUUCAAUAGUGAAAGACGGUUUUGCUGUCACUUAUAGAUGGAUCCGCGCCGCAUUAGCUAGUUGGUAAGGUAACGGCUUACCAAGGCAACGAUGCGUAGCCGACCUGAGAGGGUGAUCGGCCACACUGGAACUGAGACACGGUCCAGACUCCUACGGGAGGCAGCAGUAGGGAAUCUUCCGCAAUGGGCGAAAGCCUGACGGAGCAACGCCGCGUGAGUGAUGAGGGUCUUCGGAUCGUAAAACUCUGUUAUUAGGGAAGAACAAAUGUGUAAGUAACUAUGCACGUCUUGACGGUACCUAAUCAGAAAGCCACGGCUAACUACGUG